rnacentral:rRNA from 1 species
UACAGAGGGGGCAAGCGUUGUUCGGAAUUACUGGGCGUAAAGGGCGCGUAGGCGGCCUGCUAAGUCGGACGUGAAAUCCCCGAGCUCAACUCGGGAACUGCGUCCGAUACUGGCAGGCUUGAAUCCGGGAGAGGGAUGCGGAAUUCCAGGUGUAGCGGUGAAAUGCGUAGAUAUCUGGAGGAACACCGGUGGCGAAGGCGGCAUCCUGGACCGGCAUUGACGCUGAGGCGCGAAAGCCAGGGGAGCAAACGGG